AUGGCAAUGGCAGUGGCGGCGUCGACCAUGGAGGUCGAUCAGGACCUCCCCGGCUUCCGGUUCCACCCCACGGAAGAGGAGCUCCUCGGCUUCUACCUCUCCCGCGUCGCACUUGGCAAGAAGCUCCACUUCGACAUCAUCGGCACCCUCAACAUUUAUCGCCACGAUCCCUGGGAUCUUCCCGGGAUGGCGAAGAUCGGUGAGAGGGAGUGGUACUUCUUCGUGCCGCGUGACCGGAAGGCGGGGAGCGGCGGGCGGCCGAACCGGACCACGGAGCGGGGAUUCUGGAAGGCAACGGGGUCGGACAGGGCCAUACGGAGCACCGGCGACCCCAAGCGGGUCAUUGGGCUCAAGAAGACGCUCGUCUUCUACCAGGGCCGCGCACCGCGGGGCACCAAGACGGACUGGGUCAUGAACGAGUACCGCCUCCCUGAAACCGGCGCGGCGCCGCCCAGUGAGGACACGGUGCUGUGCAAGGUAUACCGGAAGGCCACGCCGUUCAAGGAGCUAGAGCAGAGAGCCUUUGAGAUGGAGGAGAUGAAGCAGAGGUCCGGCGGCAACGGUGGGUACGGCUACAGUGGCGCGGCCAGAGCGUGCCCUGUUCCGGCAGCCGGCGACUUCUACCUGUCGCCGUCCGACGACGUCCAGGACAACUUCCUGAUCCCCUCUUCCCCCUCCUCCUCGUCGGUGGCGCUGUCCGGCAACAGCAGCAGCCACGACGCGCCCAGGGUAACCAAGAAGGAAGCAGACGUCGCCAUGGUCACCGUCGCGUCGACGUCGUCUUUGUCGCAAGCGGCGAACGCCCCCUUCCAUCUGCAGGUUCCGGCCGUGAACCCACCCUGCAGCAUCCAGUUACCGGCGGCGAACUAUGGGAUGCCGAACAUGUCCACCCUGCAGCUACCGGCGGCGAGCAAGGGUGUGCUGGACCUGCCCAGCCUGCAACUACCGGCGGGGAGUAGCCACGGAGUGUUCGACUGGCUAAAUGACCCGUUCCUGACGCAGCUGCGCAGCCCGUGGCAGGACCAGCAUUGCAUGUCCCCUCACGCCCAUCUUCUAUACUAG
rnacentral:rRNA from 1 species